rnacentral:rRNA from 1 species
AGAGAGAGACAUGCGCGCAUAUCAAUAAGCGGAGGAAAAGAAACUAACUAGGAUUCCCUCAGUAACGGCGAGUGAAGCGGGAAGAGCUCGAAUUUGAAAUCUUCAAGGUUCUACCUUGACGAAUUGUAGUUUAAAGAAGUGUUUUCUGUUGGAGUUUUGGUAAAAGUUCUUUGGAAUAGGACAUCAUAGAGGGUGAGAAUCCCGUAUUUGACCAUUAUUUCCAGCUUUGUGAUACACUUUCAAAGAGUCGGAUUGUUUGGGAAUGCAGUCCAAAAUGGGUGGUAAAUUUCAUCUAAAGCUAAAUACUGGCGAGAGACCGAUAGCGAACAAGUACCGUGAGGGAAAGAUGAAAAGAACUUUGAAAAGAGAGUUAAACAGUACGUGAAAUUGUCAAAAGGGAAGCGUUUGACACCAGUGUUGUUUUCUCGAAAAUCAAUUAAAAAUGGCAGGAUUUUGUGUUGUAUUGACUUUAUCAGCUUUCUGCACUUUUUCUUGUCUUUUUUAAUGCACUUUUCGUUUAACAAGUCAACAUCAAUUUCUUUUGUUGUAAAAGGGUCAUUGGAAGGUGGCUUUCUUUUCGGAGAAAGUGUUUAUAGCCUUUGGCCUCUGCAAUCGGAGAGAUUGAGGUCUGCAGCGUAGAUCCUUCGGGGUUAGAUACAUUUGUGCUAAGUUAUAGCCUUUCAUAGACAACUUGUUGACUAUGAUCAGUCAUGUAGCUUACUCGCUUAUGCUAUUUUACCUACGCUUAGGAUGUUGACAGCAGUAUAGACUGU